rnacentral:tRNA from 1 species
AGCCGAGUAGCUCAAUUGGUCAGAGCCGCCCUGCCAAGGGCGAGGUUGUGGGUUCGAGUCCCGCUUCGGCUA